CCUACGGGGUGCAGCAGUGAGGAAUAUUGGUCAAUGUGCGGGAGCCUGAACCAGCCAAGUCGCGUGAGGGAAGACGGUCCUAUGGAUUGUAAACCUCUUUACGCGGGGAGCAAUGCCGGGCACGUGUGCCCGGAGGGAGAGUACCCGUAGAAUAAGCCUCGGCUAACUCCGUGGCAGCAGCCGCGGUAAUCCGGAGGAUCCAGGCGUUAUUCGGAUUUAUGGGGGUUAAGGGGUUCGUAGGCGGAUUUUUAAGUAUGCGGUAAAAGGUACGGGCUCAACUCGGGGCGGCCGUUGAAACUGGGGCGCUGGAGUGGGCGAGAAGUAUGCGGAAUGCGUGGUGUAGCGGUGAAAUGCAUAGAUAUCACGCAGAACCCCGAUUGCGAAGGCAGCAUACCGGCGCCCGACUGACGCUGAGGCACGAAAGCGUGGGGAUCGAACAGGAUUAGAUACCCGGGUAGUC
rnacentral:rRNA from 1 species